UCCCAAGCCUGUUCUUCUUCCUAGGUUACACGAUUCUGACACAAGAAGGCUCACAGAACUUCCUAUGCAGCUUUGCUGUUCUGCAGGAGGGCUUAAAAAUUACUUGAAUCAUAUCAGGAAUGCUAUAAAGUCAUUGCCAGGAAUUAUAAAAUUAUCAAUCGAGAGACUCUGCUUCAAUAAAUAAGGUGGUCUUUUGACAUUGAGACAUGACAACCCCUGGCAGCACCCCCACUCGACUUGAAAGAUGAUGAUGAGCGUCAAAGAAUCUCCAUUAGGAAAUGGCUUCAAACACAGCAAGCUAGUCACCAGGCAAAGAAAAUGGCCUACUCCCUCUGCAGACAGCAUGCUGUCCAAAACGGGCAAAACUUAGACGGGGGCAAAGUAGAGUGACAAGCUGUGCCAAGACAGGUUCCACCAGAAAACUCCCAGGUGCCAAUAAUUGAAGAGAAACAUGAAGCCUGUGAAAUGCUUUUGAGUUAAAGGCCAAUGGUUCCCACGGAUCCUGGGAGAAUCAAGAGAGUCUAAGGGGCGUUUUCUGCACAGCAAGAUGCAGUGGAGAUGCAGCUCUGCCCUCAAAAAGUCCCGAGCGACUGUGGCCCCCAGACAUCGGGUCUGAGAUAAGAAAUUCCAGCUUUAUUAAUAAUAGCCAGAAUCUGGAAACAACCCAGAUGUCCCUCAACGGAGGAAUGGAUACAGAAAUUGUGGUGCAUUUACACAAUGGAAUACUACUCAGCAAUGAAAAACAAGGAAAUCAUGAAAUUUGAAGGCAAAUGAUCAGAACUCGAAAAUAUCAUCCUGAGUAAGGUAUCCCAGAAGUAGAAAGACACAUAUGGUAUAUACUCACUCAUAAGUGAACAUUAGACAUAUAAUAUAGGACAAACAUACUAAAAUCUGCAUACCUAAAGAAGCUAAGCAAGAAGGAGGACCCUGGGUAAGAUGAUCAAUCCUCACUCAGAAAGGCAAAUGGGACAGACUUAGGAAGAGGGAGAAAACAGGGAACAGGACAGGAGCCUACCACAGAGGGCCUCUGAAAGAGGGUAUCAAAGCAGAUGUUGAGACUCAUAGCCAAACUUUGGGCAGAAUGCAGGGAAUCUUAUGAAAGAAGGGGGAGAUGAAAGACCUGGAGGGGACAGGAGCUCCACAAGGAGAACAACAGAACCAAAAAAUCUGGGCAAAGGGCUCUUUUUCUGAGACUGAUACUCUGACCAAGGACCAUGCACAGAUGUAGCCCAUGGUAGCUCAGUCUCCAAAUGGCCUCUCUAGUAAUGGGAACAGGGACUGUCUCUGACAUGAACUCAGUGGCUGGCUCUUUGAUCACCUCCCCCUGAGGGGGGAGCAGCCUUACCAGGCCACAGAGGAAGACAAUGCAGCCAGUCCUGGUGAGACCUGAUAGGCUAGAGUCAGAGAGGAGAGGAGGGCCUCCCCU